rnacentral:rRNA from 1 species
UACGUAGGGGGCUAGCGUUGUCCGGAAUUACUGGGCGUAAAGGGCGCGUAGGCGGCCGCCUAAGUCAGACGUGAAAUCCCUCGGCUCAACCGGGGAACUGCGUCUGAUACUGGGUGGCUUGAAUCCGGGAGAGGGAUGCGGAAUUCCAGGUGUAGCGGUGAAAUUCGUAGAUAUUCGCAAGAACACCAGUGGCGAAGGCGGACUCACUGGCCCAUAACUGACGCUGAGGCACGAAAGCGUGGGGAGCAAACAGGGAAUUAGAUGACCCCAG